rnacentral:rRNA from 1 species
ACGUUGUUCGGAAUUACUGGGCGUAAAGCGAGUGUAGGCGGUUUGAAAAGUCGGGUGUGAAAGCCCUGGGCUCAACCCAGGAAGUGCACUCGAUACUCUCAAGCUAGAGUAUCGGAGAGGUUGGUGGAAUUCUCGGUGUAGAGGUGAAAUUCGUAGAUAUCGAGAGGAACACCGGUGGCGAAGGCGGCCAACUGGACGAAUACUGACGCUGAGACUCGAAAGCGUG